GCCCCUGCGAGCCCUGCGCCUCAGCCGCGCCGAGCGCUCACAAAGCGUUUUCCCACCCGGUAGUGUUGGUGCUUCUUUUCAGUGCCAGUCCAUCCAUCACGACCACAUUUGUCAUGAUGACAGUGACAAGAUAUCUCCCGGGGCCAAUUCAGCAUCUCUACCUGGCCAUCCUAACAAGGUGAUUUGUGAAAGGGUGAGACUUCAGAGCCUGUUCCCUCUCCUCCCAAGUGAUCAGAACACUACCGUUCAAGAGGAUGCUCACUUCAAAGCUUUCUUCCAGAGUGAAGAUAGUCCAAGUCCUAAGAGACAGCGCCUCUCUCAUUCAGUCUUUGAUUAUACAUCAGCAUCACCAGCUCCCUCACCACCAAUGCGACCAUGGGAGAUGACAUCAAAUAGGCAG
rnacentral:lncRNA from 1 species